rnacentral:rRNA from 1 species
UACGUAGGUGGCAAGCGUUGUCCGGAAUUACUGGGCGUAAAGGGCGCGCAGGCGGCUGCUCAAGUCAGGCGUGAAAGGCCUGGGCUCAACCCGGGAAUUGCGCUUGAGACUGGGCUGGCUUGAGUGCGGGAGAGGAUGGUGGAAUUCCCAGUGUAGAGGUGAAAUUCGUAGAUAUUCGCAAGAACACCAGUGGCGAAGGCGGCUCACUGGCCCGGUACUGACGCUGAGGUGCGAAAGCGUGGGGAGCAAACAGG